rnacentral:lncRNA from 1 species
UUUUGCUGACUAGGCUGAAAAGAGAAACUUAACUCUUAAUUAAAACAAAGUAAACAAUUAUACUAACACUACUAUAAAUUAAUUAUUUAGUUUUAAAAUAAUUAAUAUUAAAAAUUAAAAUACAAAAAUUAUAAUUUACCAAAUUAUACAUGAAAAAAAUUAUAGUUGCACUAAUUAAAAAUUAAUUAAUCCUUUAAAAUUUAAACCAAAAAUAGUUCAUAUAUCACAUUACCUAAACACAUUACUAUAACCCAAAUUUAACCAAAAUUAAACUCAUCAUCAACCUUCAAGCUUUCAGAUCUAAAGCUGUAAUCAAAUGAAUCACAUGAUUGAGCUCGUUAGUCUCAGACUCUCAUGAAUAAACUUAAAAAAGUAGUGGGGAAAAAAACCCAACUUGAUCUUGGAGCCAGAAACAACGAAUCAAACCUACUCUAAUCCAUCUUUUCUUCCGAUCUAUCAUUCAUCUCUUCAUAACUAGUUAGGAGUCUUAAACCCACUUUUUUCAGCUUCCACAUAUAGCUGCAAGCCCUUCUUUUGCAUCAGUUUCAACAUAUUCAAAAACUAAAUGGAAAUGGGCUGUUUUAGGUAACUGACGAUCCACGAAAUUGAUAGCUGCUGCACUGGUACGGAUCGUGAGGCUGAAGACACCGACGAUCUCGCUCCCUAACGGUGGUAUUCUAGAUCAUUCCUGAAAUCCCCAAUCUCUCUUAAUGAAACCCUAAAUUAAACAUAAUCGAAGAAGUCGAAUAUAGUAAUUGAUUUUCAGAAAUUGGGGGAAGGGAUAGAGAGAAGAGAUCAACCACUGCUUCGCAAUUGCUCCUCCGGUGACGUCGUUUCCCUAAUUCGUCGAUGAUUUCGGUACCGUUCGAAACCUCUUCAAACACCUUCAAUUCAUCGAGUGGCCACUCGAACUCAUCAUGAAACUCCUGAGGAUGUGUAUUCUUUACACAAAGAAAGCAUAACAAGGAUCCCAAGAGAAAUCAAAACCAAAACUAAAAAAAAAAAAAAAUCGGAUUUCAAUACAUAUAGAAGAAGAAGAUCAAAACAAAAAAACAUAAGAGAAAUUAGCCUCAUCCUUCCAUGGAUUCCACCCAAGAAACGCUCCUAUUUACCUUUUUCCUCCCCUCAAACCGACGAAUAAUUAACCAUUGCUUUUUCGCCAAAAAUGGAAGACUCGAAUACUACUCACCAUCGCAAAACAGGAUUGGGGAUUGACUCAUGUUUGGGCAUUUUGAGCUUGACGUUAGUCAUGAAAUCGAUCGACUUAAGCUUCUGAUCAUUAGGAUGAGCCAGCUUGUGAUUAUUCGCGUGAAAUCGAUCAGGAUGAGUCAAUCAUGAAAUCGGUCGACUUAAACUUGUGAAUUUGGGUUAUAUUCAUCAGAUCACAUUAAUAUUUUUUGUUUUAAUUAUUUGUCAUGUCAAUAAAUAUUCUUACCACGUGUCAGUCAUGUCAUAAAUAAACUAACAUCCGUUUGUCUAACUGUCAUUUUUUUAACGGGAGGGGCAUAUUUGAGCUAUAUUUUAUAAUGUUAGAUGUACUUUUGAAAAAAAAAUUAGUUUAGGAUGAAAAUGGGACAUUCGUGUAAACAUUAG